UUUGUUCUUCCUUUCUCUUCCCUUUCCUCCUUUCCUUCAUUCUUUUCUUUCCUCCUCCCUCCCUCCCUCUCUUCCCUUCUUUCUUAUCUCCCUUCCCGUUCUCUCUACUUCCUCCCUCCUUCCUUUUCCUCCUUCCUUUCCUAUCUCCCUCCCUCUCUUCCCUCCUUUCUUAUCUCCCUUCCUUCCUCUCUUUUCUCUUCUUUCUUUCCUUUCUCUUCCCUCCCUCCCCUUCCCUUCCUUCAUUCCUCCUUUCUUUUUUCUCCUUCCUUCGUUCUGUCCUUCCCUCUCUUCUUCCCUUCCUUUCUCUGCCCUCCAUUCCUUCCUUUUUGCUCCAUCCUUCCCUCCCUCCCUUCUUCCCCUCCUUCCUCUUCCUUCCCUCACUCCUUUCCUUUCUUUUUUCUCCUUCCUUCGUUCUGUCCUUCCCUCUCUUCUUCCCUUCUUUUCUCUGCCCUCCAUUCCUUCCUUUUUGCUCCUUCCUUCCCUCCCUCACUUCUUUCCUUCCCUCCUCUUCCCCCUAAAUCCUCCAUUCCCUUCUUCCUUUUUGCACCUUCCUUCUUUUCCUCCUUUCCUUCCUUCCUUUCUUUUCUCCCUCCCUUUUUCCAUUUCUUCCCCUUCUUCCUUCCUCUAUUUCUUCCUCCCUUCCUCCUUCCCUCUCUUCCUCCCUUCUUCCCCUUGAGUAUAUCUAGGGAAUGGAGCUAAAGCUCAAACAAGAUCACAUUUGGUGGCCUUUGGAGUUCUCAGUACCAGAGUAAUUGCAGCCAUAACGUGGACGGGACCUCAGUGGUGCUUAAAAACAGUCAUUGAACAGAGACAGAUUAGUUUGCUCCAAUUUGGGAAACCAGCUAAUCAAAUUUCUCAGGAAGACCAUACUUGAGACAGGAACCUUGACAGCAUUCAAAGGUUUAUGCAAAUAGCAUCAAUAAUAUUGAUCUCCAUCAUAUACCUGGACAACUAGCCAUACCGGUGAUACUUCUACUGUGGCUUUUCCUUUGUGUGCCUUUACUAGAUAUCUUGUGGCACAAUGACGAGUGAACUAGGAACCUCUGAAAGUCAGGUAAACAAGGCAAGUGAAGACGGUCUUCCCAAGAAUGAAACAGUUACAUUGGGGGAGGCCAGCCAGGCUCCUCCAGAGAUGACCACCAAGGGGACUCUAGUAGAUCAUUCCUACGUAGACACCCAUAUGCUCCUUCACCCAGAGCUGCUCUCUCGGGAGUUCCUGCUGCUCACACUGCAGGAAAAAAAUAUAAUUGGUAAAGAGGAAAUAAAGACCAGCAAAAAUGACCUUAUUGCUCUCUAUAACCGCCAUGCAUUGCCAUUGCCUCAAAGGCAAUUACCAAAAAGUAGAUGGGGCAAAGUAGUUGAAGAGAAAAGAGAAGUGAAAAAUGAAUUGAAAAAUGAGCAAAAAAGUGAUGUGAGUGUGGCAGCUUCAAGGAAAAGACCCCGCAUAGUCUUUGAUGGCAAUUCCACAAGUACGAGGAUAAAAGUAAGAAGGACAGAAAAGGCAGCUAAUGAUGGCUCACAACCUCCUCCAUCAGCUGGCUUUACUAACAGUACCAUUAUCAAGUUACCAAAUUCAAAAGCUUCCUCUGUACCUUCCACUUUGCCUACAGGCCUUAAAGUGAACCCCCCAAAUGACACUAAACAGAGCCCUGUGUUAAUGGAUAGUAGUACAGUGGCCAAUGUAAAAUCACAACCUUUGUCUCAUGUUGAGGAAACUUCUGUUGUGAAAUUAAAGAGAAUUGUUCCAAGAGAAGACGCAAAGUCAGUGAACGAAUUCAAGUCCUCAGGAACAAAGAAAAAGAUCCAACGUAUUACAUGGCCAUGAAUGAAAGGGGUUAGAUCUUGAAAGAUUUAAAACAGCCCUUUCCAAAAUUUACUUUCCCCUUGACCAUUUGUUUUCCUUUUUGAUCCUUACCUCUAAUGUACUGGUAGUCAAAUAGUUAAAAAUCAGCCUUUUUUUAAAAACUAAAAGUCCUGCUCUAUGUCAUUAAUUACCUUGGCCAAAUGGCUGUUUGCAAUAUGAUAUAUAUAAAGUUUUCUGAUUCGGCACAGAAAUAAUUUUCCCCAGACAUCUUCAGGAAAAGGGACAAUUUUCCAAAUUUUUGUUCAUGUCUCACUCUUUGACAUAGCCAGUUUGAUGGUUCUCCUCCUCAUCAUAUAGAUGGAUCGGCCAGUAUUACUAAAUGAAUUCCCUAGACAGCACUAAGGAAAGUGCGUUCAUAGCAAGGUUCUGAAAUAAUCCGAACUUGCCCGUAAACUGCUGUCACUUUGAUGGUUUCCUUUAGCCACAGGUAAUAAGAGUUUUCAUUGAUGGCAACCUGCUUUAGUUAUGAAUUUAUUGGGUAGAAGGUGUUGAAUUUAAAGUCUGCCUACCUGUGGGAUCUUGCAUGUCAUAGUUUGAUCUACUGUUAUGAUAAUUUGAGGUUCAAGAAGUUUAGAACCAUAAAAAAUGAUCAACUCACUGUAUUUAACCUAAAGGUCCAUUCAAAUAGUCACAGCUGUUCACAGUCUGUGCUGCUACUACUACAGGCAACCCUAAGAGAUAUUGUCUGUACUCCUAAGGAAGAAAAAGAGUUUUAUUGGUUGGAUGUAUAGAGACAAGGGAAAAUGGUCUGGAAUGGCAGAAGCAGAUUCUAGAGCUAGAAGAUAGCUACAAAGGAAAUAGCUGCCUGCUGGUAUAUUGUAAUGGCCUGCCAUGUGAAUGACCAUUAUUUGUUGUUUCAGCAUUUUUAAAUUUAUGUCCCCCUUUGGGGUUGUCUUGGCAGAAACAACAGAAUAGUCUACCAUUUCCUUCCCCAACUUAUUUCAAAGAUGAGGAACUGAAGCAAACAGGGUUAAGUGACUUGCCCAGGGUCACACAAAGGAAGAUGAGUCUUCCUGAUUCCAGGCCCAGAACUCUGUCCAUUGAGUCAUUUAGCUACCCCACCCACUCAUCCAGCACCCAUCAUCUUAACUCUUAAAUCACUAAAACAUUGAACUUAUGAAAUAAUUUGUUUUAGUGGACUUGCAUCUCUGAUUUUACACGAAUGUGCUUUAUGUGGAACUUUUCUUGGGGACGUUACUUAUAUAAAGGGCUUGUAUGGUUCACCUCCAACCUGGGGUGGGAUUUUUCCAAUACUUUGUAGAGAAGGACCUUCCUUUGCUUUUGGAUGCUAAACUCAUUUGCUCGAGUUUAGUUCUUGACUAGUCUUUCAAACUGUUGUUUAGCUUUGUGGAUAAAUACUUGAAAUUCCAGCCCGUGAUUUUUUAAACCAUCAGAUGCCUUUAACUCAGGUUGUAUAUUCUGUAUAAUAAAAUAUAGCCUAGCUAUGGAUGCUUCUCGGAUAGAUGGUCAUUUGCUGGCCUGAUUGGGCUGAACUUGGGAAGCAAGUUCCAAGGGCACAAAUUUAUGUUUGAAGAUUUGCACAGUUGCAAACUUGGAGUAGUCCAAUAGUUCACAGUUUUCAUUCAUUGGUCACACUGGCCUUUCAUGGCCGUUUUUUCUCUCUUAAGUGAAAAGUAUUCUACUGGCAAUACUUAGUCCUCACCACUCUUCUGCCUUAGAACUGAUAUGCAUUUUAAGACAAACGUUAAAAAAAAAGUUUACAUUAAGUCAAAAUACCAGUCGAUUGUCAUAAAUGUAUGUUAGCUUCCCUUCUCCACUAUUGUAAAUUUUUUUUACAUUUCAAUGCUGUCAAAAUGUUAUUUUUUUAAAAGUGCUCUUUUAGUAAACACUUGCAGGUUUUAUACUUCAGUGCAAACAAGUUUAAUAUUGUAAUGUGCAUUUUUGUAUGUAAAGAUUCUUUGAAAUACCCUCAUUCUUAUUUGAAUAAAAUGAAUUCAAUUCUAAGAAGUAAAA